AUGGGAGAUUCUACAACCAGCAAGAAAACUGUCAACGACAGAGCAUUAACAGGAGCAGGCAACCUCAUCAAGGUCCUCCCGACCGGCACCGUCUUCUUGUUCCAGUUUCUCAACCCUAUCUUGACCAACAAUGGCCAGUGCGCCGUCCUCAACAAAUCCCUAAGCGCCAUUCUCAUCGCCAUUUCCGGCUUGUCUUGCUUUUUUGCUUCCUUCACUGACAGUUACCCUGGCAGUGAUGGAAAAACCCACUAUGGGUUUGCAACAAGUACGGGUAUUUGGCCCUCAAAAAAUUCCGACUCUGUGGACUUGCCUGCUUAUAAGCUUAGGCCUGGGGACUUUGCGCAUGCCUUCCUUUCCUUGAUUGUGUUUGCAGUUGUAUCACUUUUGGACACCAACAGUGUCAGGUGCUUCUAUCCAGGGUUUGAGUCCAGUGAGAAGGUUUUGCUGCAGGCGUUACCUCUUGUCAUCGGUGCAGUUGCCAGUGCUGUUUUCGUUGUGUUCCCUUGUAGUCGCCAUGGAAUUGGAUACCCCUCCUCAUCAAGUUCUGAUUCUUCACAAGACUCACAGAAAUCCUGA
rnacentral:lncRNA from 1 species